GACGAACGCUGGCGGCGUGCCUAAUACAUGCAAGUCGAACGCAGUGGGGACGGGUGAGUAACACGUGGGUAACCUGCCAUCAGCGGGGAUAACACUUGGAAACAGGUGCUAAACCGAUACUGAUGGAUGGACCCGCGGUGCAUUAACUAGAUGGUGAGGUAACGGCUCACCAAGGCCACGAUGCCUAGCCGACCUGAGAGGGUGGUUGGCCACACUGGGACUGAUAGACGGCCCAGACUCCUACGGGAUGCGACAGUAGGGAAUCUUCGGCAAUGGAGGAAAGUGUGACCGAGCAACGCCGCGUGAGUGAAGAAGGUUUUCGGAUCGUAAAGCUCUGUUGUUAGAGAAGCGGUAUCUAACCAGAAAGCCACUGCUAACUACGUGCCGGCAGCCGCGGUAAUAC
rnacentral:rRNA from 1 species